GUCAAUGUAUUCUAGGAAAGCCUAGAAUGGUCCAACGUAACAUAUAUCUUCUUUUCUUGUUUUCAUUUCUUCAACACUAAGCAAUUAUCAAGCACCCUUAACCACUCAAACUUCUGUCCAAGCUAUUUUACAACAAUUCUCUACCAUAACCCAAGGUACUAAAAAUAAUCUUAGCUCACUUCUGGACACGCAAUGGUUGCGUCAAAAUGCGAAUUACGCUAGGACUGAAGUAGUAGAGCACUGACACAUAUACCCCGCUUGAUUGUUGUGCUUACUUAUUAUGUAAAACUAAAGAAGAAUAAAAGGGAGUACGAAUGGGUUUCAAGUUUUGUUGAUCGGAUAUUACUGUACAUAGAAGCAUGCUUAGCAAGGGACAAACAACUUUUGGAAUACUAGUGCCUGUACAUUAAAACUUAGUGUAUAAUCAAAUGUUGUAACCGAUGCUUGUGUUGUGUAUUACAAUAUCCUUUUAAAUAGCACGUUUGUACCAUGUAUCUGUUGCAUCUUGCGUGCGCUUCCGCUGCGAGUCGGGGUGUAACAACCUCCGUUCGUACGGGCGCACAACCUCCAUUCGUAUGGAUGGACUUCAACAUACAUGUACUUUAUGAAUUGCUCAG